rnacentral:lncRNA from 1 species
UUUUGGAUAAGACGUUUGACGUUGUUAUAAAAGGAGGAGAAGAGUGGGGUGUGCAAGAAGAAGAUUUUGGAGAAAAAUUUUGGGGCGUGAGAAGUCUUGUGCGUGAGAAGGAAGUCCAUAUCCUUCGAAGAGAAAAAGAAAGAAAAGAAAGAAAAGUGGGUGCAAGGUUUCCGAUGAGUUCCCUAGAGUUUUAGCCUAGGGUUCGAAAAGUGAGAAAGUGUGCUACGAGUGUCGUGAGCCCACAAAAUUUUAGAAAGAUCUUCAACAUCCUCUCAAGCAUGUCUGUUGACAAUCCGAAGCAUCCAAAGAAUCGAC